AUGGGGUCACGGAGGGGAAGGCCGCAGCAGCAGUAUCCUCCUCCUCCUCCUGCCGCCGCCGCCGAGGGCCCGCCGCGCGGAGGCCCAGCCAGGGGAGGCGGCCGCGGCCCAUUCCCUCAGCAGCAGGUGCCGCAAGGGGGAGGACGCGGCAACCAGGGAUUCACCGGCGCCCCCCUGCAGCCGCCGCAGCCAAGGGACGAUGCGGCCGCAGGCAGGGGCAGGGGCCGUGCUGCACGUGGCACCGGCACGCGGCACCCCGGCGACGGCAGGGGCGCGGCGCGCGGGGCCGGCACCUCCUCCCCUGCCCCUGUAGCCGCAGGGCCGUUGGGCCGCCUGCCUCCCGACCUGCGCCAAGCAAUGGAAGAACCUUCAGAGCCCCAGGAAGCGAUCCCGGCGUCGAGCAAGGCGAUUCGGUUCCCGCCGCGGCCGGGCAAGGGCAGCGCCGGCAGCAGGUGCCUGGUGAAGGCCAACCAUUUCAUCGCCCAGCUCCCAGACAAGGACCUCCACCACUACCAUGUUUCGAUCACUCCGGAGGUCACCUCGCGGGUCGUCAACCGCGCCGUGAUCAACGAGCUGGUGAGCCUGCACAGGGCGACCUACCUCGGCGGGAGGCUGCCGGCGUACGACGGCAGGAAGAGCCUCUACACGGCCGGCCCGUUGCCGUUCGCUUCCAAGGAGUUUCAGAUCACUCUGCUUGACGACGACAAUGGCUCCGGCUCUGCCUCCCAGAGGCGGCAGAGGAAUUUCAAGGUGGUGAUUAAGUUCGCCGCGCGCGCCGACCUCCAUCGCCUCGGGAUGUUUCUGGCCGGGAGGCACGCGGAGGCUCCUCAGGAGGCGUUGCAGGUCCUUGACAUUGUGCUGCGCGAGCUGCCCUCUGCAAGAUAUGCGCCAUUUGGACGGUCGUUCUUCUCGCCUGACCUGGGCAGGAGGCAGCCCCUCGGCGACGGAUUAGAGAGCUGGCGCGGGUUUUACCAGAGCAUCCGGCCUACUCAGAUGGGCCUCUCACUCAAUAUUGAUAUGUCAGCUACAGCUUUCAUUGAGCCACUGCCUGUGAUAGAUUAUGCCGCGCAGCUCCUGCGUUCUGACAUCCAUUCGAGGCCCCUCUCAGACGCCGAACGUGUUAAGAUCAAGAAGGCACUAAGAGGAGUAAAGGUGGAAGUUACUCAUCGUGGCAACAUGCGAAGAAAGUACCGGAUAUCUGGUCUGACAACUCAGGCAACUCGAGAGCUCACUUUUCCUGUUGACGAAGGGGGCACAGUAAAGUCAGUCGUACAAUACUUUCAGGAGACAUACGGCUUUGCCAUCCAGCACACGUACCUGCCUUGCCUCCAAGUUGGCAAUCAGCAGCGUCCAAAUUACUUGCCUAUGGAGGUCUGCAAAAUAGUGGAGGGACAGAGGUACUCCAAGAGACUAAAUCAGAAUCAGAUAAGAGCACUCUUGGAUGAGACAUGUCAGUACCCGCGUGAUCGGGAGCGUGAUAUAACCCAGAUGGUGAAACACAAUGCUUAUCAGGAGGAUCCUUAUGCGAAAGAGUUCGGCAUUAAGAUUAGCGAUCGUCUGGCAUCAGUAGAUGCACGGAUUUUACCAGCCCCACGGCUUAAGUACAACGAGACUGGUAGAGAAAAGGAUUGUACACCUAGAGUUGGUCAAUGGAAUAUGAUGAACAAGAAAAUGGUAAAUGGUGGCAAAGUGAGAAGCUGGAUGUGCGUCAAUUUUGCCCGUAACGUGCCAGACAAACUUGCUCGUGAUUUCUGCCACCAACUUGCUCAGAUGUGCCAAGACUCGGGAAUGGACUUCGCUCUGGAGCCUGUUCUUCCACCCAUGAGUGCACGCCCGGAUCAAGUGGAGCGAGCUCUCAAAGCUCGGUACCAUGAGGCAAUGAACAUUCUUGGGCCCCAGCGCCGGGAGCUCGAUCUGCUUAUUGGAAUCCUUCCUGAUAACAACGGCUCGCUUUAUGGUGAUCUGAAGCGCGUGUGCGAAAUAGAUCUCGGAAUAGUUUCGCAGUGCUGUUGUACGAAGCAGGUGUUCAAAUUGAACAAGCAAAUUUAUGCAAAUAUUGCACUGAAGAUAAACGUCAAGGUGGGGGGCAGGAACACUGUGCUGGUGGAUGCUUUGUCGCGGCGUAUCCCUCUGGUCACCGACAGACCUACAAUCAUAUUUGGUGCUGAUGUGACCCAUCCUCAUCCUGACGAGGACAGCAGUCCUUCAAUCGCUGCUGUUGUAGCCUCCCAAGAUUGGCCCGAGGUUACGAGGUACGCAGGGUUAGUUUCUGCUCAGGCGCACCGGCAAGAGCUGAUAGAGGAUUUGUACAAGGUCCGGCAAGAUCCACAGAAAGGACCAGUCAGUAGUGGCAUGAUUAGGGAGCUACUUAUAUCAUUUAAAAAAUCGACCGGUGAGAAGCCCCAGCGGAUAAUAUUCUACAGGGAUGGCGUUAGCGAGGGCCAGUUUUACCAAGUUCUGUUGUUUGAACUCAAUGCGAUCCGAAAAGCAUGUGCCUCCCUGGAGGCAAAUUACCAGCCACAUGUGACUUUCAUCGUGGUUCAGAAACGCCACCACACGAGACUAUUUGCGCACAACCACAAUGAUAAGAACUCGAUGGACAGGAGUGGGAACAUACUCCCAGGUACCGUUGUGGACACGAAGAUCUGUCAUCCGACUGAAUUUGACUUCUACUUGUGCAGCCAUGCUGGCAUCAAGGGCACCAGCCGUCCCGCUCAUUAUCACGUCUUGUGGGACGAGAACAACUUUACAGCUGAUGGGUUGCAGACUCUCACCAACAACCUCUGCUACACCUACGCGAGGUGCACUCGGUCGGUGUCGAUUGUUCCACCUGCAUACUAUGCUCAUCUGGCCGCCUUCCGUGCCCGGUUCUACAUGGAGCCAGAGAGCUCCGACAGCGGCUCUAUGGCAAGUGGGCCCGGUGGGCGUGGACCGCAGUCCGGCUCGUCGGCGUCACGUGGUACCCGGGCCCCCGGCGGUGCAGCUGUUAAGCCCCUUCCAGCCCUCAAGGACAAUGUGAAGAACGUCAUGUUUUACUGCUGA
rnacentral:rRNA from 1 species